AUGAAUUAUUCCCUCUCGCCUUAACGAUUCCCCCCUUUAAGAAACCUUUCGCUUUAAGAACCCCCCUGUCAGUGUGUCCAGCUAAAACAGAGCUCUCGUCAUCUUGUCUCCUCCAUCGUUUGAGAAUGUCGUGAUUCAUUUCCGCUGUGGAUGUGAGAUUUAUGGCGCGCGAGGACCUCAGCAGAACAGUUCGAAAGUGAGAAGAUGCCAAGAACCUUUUGCAAGAGCAAUUUAUGCAAGAAAGUAGAAUCAGGGGUGCAUUACUGAGAGGAGACUGUCGGCAGAAGACGCAUUCCAUCAGUACCGAGAGGCAGCCCUAUGCAGCGGAAAGGAGCGAUGGUCGAGUCAGUGACAACCGCAGUGUGGCCACACUGAAGAAAAAUCAAGUUAUCCUCUGUCGGGGAUCAAGAUAAAAUUGAAGUUCCAGAACUGGAGAAACGGAGAAAGC